UUCAGGGAGUAAUGGCCAUGGCGCGACGGUGAAGGGUUAGAGGUUAGUUCUAAGGAAACGGUUAAGGGUUGGUUUGGGAGGAGAGUGUCGGAAGGUUGCGAAAAGCUUUGCCAAAUGGUUGGACCAGCAGUAACUUCUGUUCCAAGGAGGAGGAAGUUUCCAGAUUCGGACAUAACCGCUGAUUCAACACCAUGGUUUGACGUGUUUGAGGUCCAGACGACAGUGUUUUGGUCGGAGAGUACGAGGUUUCCCGUGGCUUCUAGCUCCAACACGGCUUCUUUUGUGACUGGGGAGUUUCUAUAUUUUAGA